UCGUGACAAACGGCGCCUAAAAAUACACGGAGCCUGCACGCGUGUUUCUCCACAUGCCCUCUCCUUCUCGGAUCCUCUACCGUAAUCUCCCGGCGACGCCGCCGCCAUGUCUUCCCAGUCUUCUGCAGGAGGUCCGGCGAUCCAUCAUCCCCACUCCAACUACCACCCGUACAUCUUUCAGCAUGACCCUCCGCUCCACUCUAAUUCCCGCCGUCGCCGCCGUAACCAUGAUGACCCAUAUCAACCCUAUCUGCCUCUACCCCACGCUCACUCCCACGGAGCCACUGCCGUCGUUACCGGCACCGUUCGUUGCCAUGUCCCCCGGGAUCCACUUGUGCUCUCACACCUCCAGGAGCGCCUCUUUCCGACUCUCCCUCAACAUCACCCGAUCGCGGGUCCACCCCCGACGAAGCGGGCCCGCCGCGCGCCAGAUACUCCGUGGGAUCCGCCGCCGCCAACGCUGCAGCCGGCACUUGUCCCGGUGGCGCUAGAGAGGCCUCCGGAUGUAGGACAUUCUGCCGGGGCGUUGCUUUCGCGUGACGAGAUCGAGAGGCGGUCUCCAUCAAGAAGGGACGGGAUCGAUUCCGCGCUUGAGGCCAGGCUGCGUGCGUCCUACUGCGCCUACCUGCAUUGCCUCGGCAACCGGCUCGGGUUGCCGCAGACAACAAUUGCGACGGCUGUGGUGUUCUGCCAUCGGUUCUUCUUCCACAGAUCUCAUGCCUGCCAUGAUAGAUUUUUGGUUGCGACUGCAGCCUUGUUCCUGGCAGCAAAGGCAGAAGAAACAGCAUGCCUUUUGAAUACUGUUCUUAGGGCUUCAUGUGAGGUUUCUCAAAAUCAGGAAUUCAAUCUUCUUCCUUACAUGCUAUGUGGUCAGGACUGGUUUGAACAGUACAGAGAGAGUGUAAUACAAGCGGAGCAAAUGAUACUUACAACACUUGAUUUUGAACUCGAAGUAGCCCACCCAUAUGCUUCCCUAUCCUCUGCUUUGGGCAAACUAGGACUCACACAUACUGUUCUGUUUAAUGUGGCUUGGAAUCUGAUCAAUGAAGGGAGUGGCAUAUGCCCCUGGAGGUGUUAUAUGAUCAAAUAAUUGAUGAUGUAUGUGUGGCAAGGUGCAUGUCUAAUCGCUAGAUUUUAGCAAUAGGGCAAUUCUUCAGAAGGUUGUUCAAUAAUGUGAUACCUGGCAUCUUUUAGUGGUAAGGAGAAUUGGACAUGUUUUUUUUUUUUUUUUUUGUAAAUUGUUAAUAUAUGUUGGAUCGUUGACCCUUGAGGCCUUAACAUCUCUUGCUGACAUGGCUUGUCAUGUUGCCUGAAACAAAUGACUUCACUUUUCAUGUGAGCGGUUCUAAUUGAUGGCUACGAAGUUCACUUUGGCUUCAGUUCAAGCCCCAUCAUAUUGCUGCUGGAGCUGCAUUCCUUGCUGCAAAGUUCCUCCACUAUGACAUCACAUUCCAUCCAAAUUUCUGGCAUGAAUUCAAGACAAGUCCAUAUAUUGUUCAAGAUGUUGUCCAGCAGUUGAAGGAGCUACUUUAGGAUACAACAUUCAAUGUAUUUACAUAAUACUCAGAGAUCCUCUUGGUUUAUACGCUGUAGUGAGUAGUGAUCACUGCCAAAAGUACGUACACAUUAGCAUGUGGUCACUUUCAUCAAUUACUGAACAUCUUUCAUGUAGGUUUUUACAACCACAGUGCUAUGUACAAAAGGGGAAGAUGUUAUUCAAAAGUUGCCCUUUUAGUUUUGGGGAGGUAAAAGCAAACAAUCUUUAGAAGAGAUGUGACGAACAACAAGAGAUAAAAAAGGCAAAAAGGUGUAAGAGAUGUAAAAAGUUGAUGAAAUGUUGGAUCCCUUAAUUGGUUGUCCGGUUGUGAUUAUCUGAUAUAUAUAGAGGAUGGUUUAUCCCAACAA